GCCUGGGUGGCUCAGUCGGUUAAGCAUCUGACUUCAGCUCAGGUCAUGAUCUCAUGGUCCGUGAGUUCGAGCCCCAUGUCGGGCU
rnacentral:tRNA from 1 species